AUGCUCACUUUGGCAGUACAAAUACUAAAAUUGGAAUGAUAACAGAGAUUAGCAUGGCCCUUGUGCAAGGAUCACAUGCAAAUUUGUGAAGCAUUCAUAUUUAAA